CCUACGGGAGGCAGCAGUAGGGAAUAUUGCUCAAUGGGGGAAACCCUGAAGCAGCAACGCCGCGUGGAGGAUGAAGGUUUUCGGAUUGUAAACUCCUUUUGUUAGAGAAGAUACUGACGGUAUCUAACGAAUAAGCACCGGCUAACUCCGUGCCAACAGCCGCGGUAAUACGGAGGGUGCAAGCGUUACUCGGAAUCACUGGGCGUAAAGAGGGCGUAGGCGGGAUAUCAAGUCAGAUGUGAAAUCCUAUGGCUUAACCAUAGAACUGCAUUUGAAACUGUUAUUCUAGAGUAUGGGAGAGGUAGGUGGAAUUCUUGGUGUAGGGGUAAAAUCCGUAGAGAUCAAGAGGAAUACUCAUUGCGAAGGCGACCUGCUAGAACAUAACUGACGCUGAUGCGCGAAGGCGUGGGGAGCAAACAGGAUUAGAUACCCGAGUAGUC
rnacentral:rRNA from 1 species